rnacentral:lncRNA from 1 species
AGGUACUUGUUCUCUUCACUCUUCGGGAUUCUAUAAGAGAUGUCCAGCAAGCAGCAGAGCUGGGCUUACGAUGUUGUACCAAGCAUGGAAGGAAGCACUGCAAAGCUGACAUCAGCACAAAUACCUGUGGAAACUGCAGGGGGCAAGGCAAUGAGGUGCUACUUCAAGUAGGAUGUGACCAUUUGACAUAUCCUUGCUGACAAUUGAACAAAAUGCUCUAAUACGGCAAAGAAUGAGUGAGUACAUAAUUCUGAUGAAUCUGAUGAAGUAAAACGGGAAAUUUCAAAUAGCUAUGGAUUUUAGAUGAAAAAGAAGGUGCGGGUACCUUUUUGCUAGGCGUAUCUGCUGUCUCCAGGGAGAUUCCACACCAGCACCCGGGACUUCUCAGCCCUGCCCCAGUCUUCACACCACCUUUGAGCUCCAUACCAUGGUUCUGAGUGUGUGAUUCCUUCCAGAAUGGCCGUGUUUUCUUCCGCACUCUGCGAAGUUCCUGUUCUCUCUUCCCCCUGUGCAGACUCCACGAAAGAGCACACACAUUUUGAAAUUUGGAUUUUAUUAAGGCUGCCA